rnacentral:rRNA from 1 species
UUUUCGACCUGAACUCAGACGUGAGUACCCGCUGAACUUAAGCAUAU